GAGAAGCAGAAGCAGCAGGGAAAAGGCCACACCCAGGGCUCGCACAAAGUGUCUGCUGCUGACCAGAGGCGGGGGAGGCACAUGGGCCGCCAGUGUGGGUCCUUUUUAGGCCUUCAUCUGGGGCCUCCAAAUCUACUAGCCCCACGAAAAUCACCACAGGCUCAAGGAUGCGGGCAGGAGUCUGGGAUGCAAACUAGCCCCGAGCUCAGAAGCAUCACCCCCAGGGAGUCGCGGUGGGGCUGCUCUGGGCGUUGGUACCACGCCUGGACACCGAGAAACCUCGGCGCUGCGUCAGCUGUGCUCACGGUGGCCCACGUGUGACGGCUAGAUGCCAUCGUGGAGAAGGCGCCCGAGGGGAAGAUGGCAAGGGUGACACUGACGGUAGAGCUUUACUUGGUUCAAGGGACACGUCAGCAAGAGCAGCACACAUGGCUCGACUCAUUCGCUCUAACACAUACUUCCCAUCUCCUCCGCUAGGAGUUCUCGUCCUUUGGAAAUUUACACCCAGGCAGAAAAGUGAGUUCUUAUGAACUCAAGGGACUGGGGCGAUCUCCACGGCAGAUCUUGAGGCGCGUCAUUACAUGAGCGCAGCACUUGGGCUCCGUGUCACACUCAGACAGCUACGGGCCAGCGCAUGAAUGCUGGGCCACGGCUUAAAGAAGAAAGAAAAGACGACGCUCACGCUUUACACAGGAGGUCUGUUCUUCAUACUCACUGAACAGAUACGUACACAUGCAUUUCUCCCAAAAUGCCGCCUCGGCGGUUCAUGCGCAGUAACGAGCUUAGGGGAGCCGCUGGGUGAGUGCCUGGCAUGUUUUGGAAUUUUCGCCACAUGGAGCGUAUUUUUUAUAAUUGACUCCGGCUUAAGCUUAAAGGCCUGCUGUGGUUUUAAAACGUCUGGGACAGUGGAGGUGUUGGAGGGAAUUCCAACCCCAGCCCUCCAGGACUUCUGUGACCUGUCCUCCUGGUUUCCAGCAGCCAAGGAGGCAAGGCCUGUGUUUUCUGUGUUCGUGUGGAUGAGGCGGGUGCUCUCAAACGGCUCUGCCUCCCCCUGGGCUGGGGAGCUGGGCGAGUCUGGGAGCCCCGGCAGGACCCGACGUACAGAAGCGCCGUGCUUCCAGUGGGAGAGGAACGAGAGCUCCCAUCGGAGAACAGAGGACAAGCUGGGUGAUUCUAAGGCCUCACAGGGCUUCUUCCCACACCCCCGGGGGAAGGGAAGGGUGGGGACGUGGCAGAGCCGGGGCAGGCGCAGAAACGCGGCAGGAGGAGAAGGUGGGAGUCGGCGCUACUCCAUUUCACAAGUUCCCCGGAGUGUACAAUGCUGUAAUCUCUCCGUCAUUACGACUCGUCUGUCACUGGGCAGGUGUCUGGCGGAGCACUCGCUGCGCCACACCGACCACGCUAUCAGGAAAUACCCCUGCUCUCGCACGGGCAUUAAUGGGCACAUUCCUGUGCGGUAA
ensembl:lncRNA